AGGGCGCACGGUGGAUGCCUUGGCAUUAAGAGCCGAAGAAGGACGUGACUAACGACGAUAUUCUAGGGGGAGCAGUAAGUACGCAUUGAUCCCUAGGUCUCCGAAUGGGGAAACCCACUAUGUUAUGCAUAGUAUCCGUAAGUGAAUACAUAGCUUACGCGAAGGUAACGCAGAGAACUGAAACAUCUAAGUACCUGCAGGAAGAGAAAGUAAAAACGAUUUCCUAAGUAGCGGCGAGCGAACGGGAAACAGGCCAAACCAAGAAGCUUGCUUCUUGGGGUUGUAGGACUGCAACGUGGACUUAAAGUCUAUAGAAGAAUUACCUGGGAAGGUAAGCCAAAGAGAGUAAUAGCCUCGUAUUUGAAAUAGACUUUAUACCUAGCAGUAUCCUGAGUAGGGCUGGACACGCGAAAUCCAGUUUGAAUCCGGGAGGACCAUCUCCCAAGCCUAAAUACUCCUUAAUGACCGAUAGUGAACCAGUACCGUGAGGGAAAGGUGAAAAGAACCCCGGGAGGGGAGUGAAAUAGCACCUGAAACCGUGUGCCUACAAGAAGUUCGAGCCCGUCAAUGGGUGAGAGCGUGCCUUUUGUAGAAUGAACCGGCGAGUUACGUUAUGAUGCGAGGUUAAGCUGAAGAGGCGGAGCCGUAGCGAAAGCGAGUCUGAAUAGGGCGCUUUAGUAUCAUGAUGUAGACCCGAAACCUAGUGACCUAUCCAUGAGCAGGUUGAAGGUGCGGUAAGACGCACUGGAGGACCGAACCAGGACACGUUGAAAAGUGUUUGGAUGACUUGUGGAUAGCGGAGAAAUUCCAAACGAACUGGGAGAUAGCUGGUUCUCUCCGAAAUAGCUUUAGGGCUAGCGUCGCAAUUUAAGUGUAUUGGAGGUAGAGCACUGUUUGGAUGAGGGGCCCAUCUCGGGUUACCAAUUUCAGAUAAACUCCGAAUGCUAAUACACAUGUGCGGCAGUCAGACUGCGAGUGCUAAGAUCCGUAGUCGAAAGGGAAACAGCCCAGACCACCAGCUAAGGUCCCAAAAUAUAUGUUAAGUGGAAAAGGAUGUGGGGUUGCACAGACAACUAGGAUGUUAGCUCAGAAGCAGCUAUCAUUCAAAGAGUGCGUAAUAGCUCACUAGUCGAGUGACCCUGCGCCGAAAAUGUACCGGGGCUAAACAUAUUACCGAAGCUGUGGAUUUAAUAUUAAUUAAAUGGUAGGAGAGCGUUGUAAUCAGCGAUGAAGGUAUACCGUGAGGGGUGCUGGAGCGAUUACAAGUGAGAAUGCCGGUAUGAGUAGCGCAAGAUAAGUGAGAAUCUUAUCCACCGUAAGACUAAGGUUUCCAGGGGAAGGCUCGUCCGCCCUGGGUUAGUCGGGACCUAAGGCGAGGCCGAAAGGCGUAGUCGAUGGACAACAGGUUGAUAUUCCUGUACUAGUAUUGUUAGUGAUGGAGGGACGCAGUAGGCUAAAGGGAGCCAGUUAAUGGAUUCUGGUCUAAGCAGUGAGGUGUGGAAUGUGUCAAAUGCAUUUUCCUUUAACAUUGAGCUGUGAUGGGGAAGCAACUACGGUUGCGAAGCCCUUGAUGUCACACUGCCAAGAAAAUCUUCUAGCGUUUAAUUCAAUACUACCCGUACCGCAAACCGACACAGGUAGUCGAGGCGAGUAGCCUCAGGUGAUCGAGAGAACUCUCGUUAAGGAACUCGGCAAAAUGACCCCGUAACUUCGGGAGAAGGGGUGCUGUAGAAAUACAGCCGCAGUGAAAAGAUCCAAGCAACUGUUUAUCAAAAACACAGCUCUCUGCUAAACCGCAAGGUGAUGUAUAGGGGGUGACGCCUGCCCGGUGCUGGAAGGUUAAGAGGAGGGGUUAGACAUUAGUCGAAGCUCUGAAUUGAAGCCCCAGUAAACGGCGGCCGUAACUAUAACGGUCCUAAGGUAGCGAAAUUCCUUGUCGGGUAAGUUCCGACCCGCACGAAAGGCGUAAUGAUUUGGAUACUGUCUCAACGAGAGACUCGGUGAAAUUUUAGUACCUGUGAAGAUGCAGGUUACCCGCGACAGGACGGAAAGACCCCAUGGAGCUUUACUGCAGAUUGAUAUUGAGUACCUGUGAAGCAUGUACAGGAUAGGUAGGAGACUUUGACCUUGGGACGCUAGUUUCAAGUGAGUCGCUGUUGGGAUACUACCCUUGCUUCAUGGUUGCUCUAACCCACACGCAUAAUCGGCGUGGGAGACAGUGUCUGUCGGGCAGUUUGACUGGGGCGGUCGCCUCCUAAAGAGUAACGGAGGCGCCCAAAGGUUCCCUCAACAUGGUUGGAAAUCAUGCGUAGAGUGUAAAGGUAUAAGGGAGCUUGACUGCGAGAGCUACAACUCGAGCAGGUACGAAAGUAGGGCUUAGUGAUCCGGUGGUUCCGCAUGGAAGGGCCAUCGCUCAACGGAUAAAAGCUACCCUGGGGAUAACAGGCUUAUCUCCCCCAAGAGUUCACAUCGACGGGGAGGUUUGGCACCUCGAUGUCGGCUCGUCGCAUCCUGGGGCUGUAGUCGGUCCCAAGGGUUGGGCUGUUCGCCCAUUAAAGCGGCACGCGAGCUGGGUUCAGAACGUCGUGAGACAGUUCGGUCCCUAUCCGUCGCGGGCGUAGGAAAUUUGAGAGGAUCUGCCCUUAGUACGAGAGGACCGGGGUGGACUUACCGCUGGUGUACCAGUUGUUCCGCCAGGAGCACCGCUGGGUAGCUAUGUAGGGAAGGGAUAAGCGCUGAAAGCAUCUAAGUGCGAAGCCCACCUCAAGAUGAGAUUUCCCAUUCU
rnacentral:rRNA from 1 species